rnacentral:rRNA from 1 species
UACGUAGGGUCCGAGCGUUGUCCGGAGUUACUGGGCGUAAAGCGCGCGCAGGCGGCUCACCAAGUCUGGCGUGAAAGCCCCCGGCUCAACCGGGGAGGGUCGUCGGAGACUGGUGGGCUUGAGGGCGGUAGGGGCUGGUGGAAUUCCCGGUGUAGUGGUGAAAUGCGUAGAGAUCGGGAGGAACACCUGUGGCGAAGGCGGCCAGCUGGGCCGACACUGACGCUGAGGCGCGAAGGCGUGGGGAGCGAACGGG